AACCCGUGAUGUGGGCACUCUCUUUGGUAGACAUUGAAUCGUUCCCAUGCAUCGCAGAACGGCCCAUCUGCUAGCUGCUUGAAGGUCGUGAUCUUCUGUCUCAAAGCU